UACGUAGGGGGCGAGCGUUGUCCGGAUUUAUUGGGCGUAAAGAGCGUGUAGGCGGCCAGGUAGGUCCGUUGUGAAAACUCGAGGCUCAACCUCGAGACGUCGGCGGAAACCCUCUGGCUAGAGUCCGGAAGAGGAGAGUGGAAUUCCUGGUGUAGCGGUGAAAUGCGCAGAUAUCAGGAGGAACACCAAUGGCGAAGGCAGCUCGCUGGGACGGUACUGACGCUGAGACACGAAAGCGUGGGGAGCAAACAGG
rnacentral:rRNA from 1 species